UACAGAGGGGGUAAGCGUUGUUCGGAAUUACUGGGCGUAAAGGGCGCGUAGGCGGCCUGUUAAGUCGAACGUGAAAUCCCCGGGCUCAACCCGGGAACUGCGUCCGAUACUGACAGGCUUGAAUCCGGGAGAGGGAUGCGGAAUUCCAGGUGUAGCGGUGAAAUGCGUAGAUAUCUGGAGGAACACCGGUGGCGAAGGCGGCAUCCUGGACCGGCAUUGACGCUGAGGCGCGAAAGCGUGGGGAGCAAACAGG
rnacentral:rRNA from 1 species